CCAGCCCGCGGGCGGAGGAGGCGGACGAAGGCGCCGCCGCGCCCAGCAGCCGCCGCCGGAGCCCGGCGGCGCUCAGCGAUGUCUGCCAAGGAGGGGAGCAAGGUGCUGCUGCUGCCGCCCCACGCCACUAGCGAGCGCGCCGUCAAGGCUGUCCCUUUUCCACCAACGCAUCGUUUGACAUCUGAAGAAGUGUUUGACACAGAUGGAAAACCCAGGGUUGACAUUUUGAAGAACCACUUGAUAAAGGAAGGUCGAGUGGAUGAAGAAAUUGCACUUAGAAUCAUCAAUGAGGGUGCUGCAAUAUUACGGAGAGAAAAAACUAUGAUAGAAGUUGAAGCUCCAAUUACAGUGUGUGGUGAUAUACAUGGCCAGUUCUUUGAUCUAAUGAAGCUGUUUGAAGUGGGAGGAUCACCUGCUAACACAAGAUACCUCUUCCUCGGUGACUAUGUAGACAGAGGUUAUUUUAGUAUAGAGUGUGUGCUGUAUUUAUGGGUCCUGAAAAUUCUCUAUCCAAGCACGUUAUUUCUUUUGAGAGGCAACCAUGAAUGCAGACACCUAACAGAGUAUUUUACCUUUAAACAAGAAUGUAAAAUAAAAUACUCUGAAAGAGUCUAUGAUGCUUGCAUGGAAGCUUUUGAUUGCCUCCCUCUUGCUGCUCUCUUAAAUCAACAGUUUCUUUGUGUUCAUGGUGGACUUUCACCAGAAAUUAAUACACUAGAUGACAUUAGGAGAUUAGAUAGAUUCAAAGAACCUCCAGCAUUUGGACCAAUGUGUGACUUACUGUGGUCAGAUCCUUCAGAAGAUUUUGGAAAUGAAAGUUCACCAGAGCACUUCAGUCACAAUACAGUCAGAGGAUGCUCAUACUUUUAUAGCUAUCCAGCAGUUUGUGAAUUUUUGCAAAAUAAUAAUUUGUUGUCAAUCAUUAGAGCACAUGAAGCACAAGAUGCAGGUUAUAGAAUGUACAGGAAAAGUCAAACUACAGGGUUUCCAUCAUUAAUAACAAUUUUUUCAGCACCUAAUUACCUGGAUGUCUACAAUAAUAAAGCUGCUGUUUUAAAAUAUGAAAACAAUGUGAUGAAUAUUCGUCAAUUCAAUUGUUCUCCUCAUCCUUACUGGCUACCAAAUUUUAUGGAUGUUUUUACAUGGUCCUUGCCAUUUGUUGGAGAAAAAGUAACAGAAAUGUUGGUGAAUGUUUUGAGCAUUUGUUCUGAUGAUGAACUGAUGACAGAGGGAGAAGAUCAAUUUGACGUAGGUACAGCUGCUGCACGGAAAGAAAUAAUCAGGAACAAAAUUCGUGCAAUUGGCAAGAUGGCAAGAGUCUUCUCUGUUCUCAGGGAGGAGAGUGAAAGUGUGCUGACACUCAAGGGUUUGACUCCCACUGGAAUGUUACCUAGUGGAGUGUUGGCUGGAGGACGACAGACCCUGCAAAGUGAUGCGUUGUAACUGGGAACUGUUCUCAAAGUCUGUGCGCAGAAGUUCAAGUUAACAAAUGGUCUGGAGCUGUCUCUAAUUCUUGCAUUGUUGAAGAGGAAAAAAAGGUAUCCUGCCUCUCAGAAAACUAGAUCUGCAUUGCUAUCUGAUUUAAGUGACUUGUUUCCAGUAGUCAGCCACCUGCUAGCUGCUGCCACUCGAGCAAGGAAUUCAGGUAAGUUGGACAUACCAGUUUACCUGAGUUAGAAGGUUAAAUCAGCUUGCUCACCUAACCCCUAAUGUGGAUUUAACACCCAAAGAGAUACUUGCAUCCCCUGACCUUAAGAAAAUACUCCUUCAUUUUUGUCCUGUUAAAAAAAAAUUAGGUUAUCUAAAACUAUCAGUUAGUAGCUAUGGCUUGUUUCCAGCAGGGAGAGGUAUGCAACUUCAGUGUAAACAGUGCUUAUUGGUUAAAAGAACUCUGGCUCUCAUUAGGUUCUAGCAAAAAGAAUGACCAAGAGAGGGGCAGAGAAUAAAAUUCAAUCGUGCAGCAUUCAUUCCCUGCUGGACAGCUGCUGCAAACUGACCAAUCCUGCAGUACUGGCACAUGCAGCAGAGAAGAAUUCUAACCUCAACAGUCCCUAAAUUUGUUUUCCGCAAGAUUUUUCAACAGUGCAGAGAUCAGGUAUUUUGUUUUCUUGAAUGAGCAUUUUUAGAUGGUUUUGAAUUAUUUUGUUCACAGGAGAACCAUACCUUCAUUGCAUGACGUAAACUCCAGGCAUCAUAGUAAGUUCUAGGCAUGAAGAGUGCCAGGAUCAGUUCUUCCACAUUUCCACUUAAUUCAGACUUCAGGUCUUUAAUUAAAUCCUGUCCAAUUAGAAGCACAAAAAGGCCAUUGUUAUAUAAUAUGUGAGCUACAAAUUACUCUUAACACAUUGUUCAAGUGGCACAAAUUUUCACACACACGCCCAGAUUAGAGCAGCUGAUGAGCUUCUGCUUUUGUUUGCUACAGUACAUUACAUUGUUAUCCAUCUCCUGAGAAUCCCUAAUAUCCACCAAGAGCACGGCCAUCGCUCCCCUCUUUGAGAAUACUGGUAAAACAGAUAGCAGCACACAUCCAUAACUCUGUAGUGACUGGAGUGCUCACUGAGGAAGGAGUGCUGAGUUCAGUUCCUUCCUGCAUCAAGUAUUUCCAACCCUACAACUCCAGUUACUUGCAGAAUUACUUAUCGUAUUUUAGAUACGAACCAACAAGUUCAGCCCGGUGGGGAAAGAGCUGAUUUUUUCAGGGAGAUUCAAGUUGGAUAUUAUAAAAAAUUUCUUCUCUGAAGGAGCAGCAGUGCACAGGAAUGGACUGCCCAGGGAGGUGGUGGAGUCGCUGUCCCUGCAGGAGAUGUGGGGAUGUGGCACUGAGGGAUGUGAUCAGUGGGCACAGUGGUGACGUGUUGACGGUUGGACUUGAUUUUCAAGGUCUUUUCUAACUUUUAAGGAUUCUGUGAUUCUUUCAGAGUAGUGCUACUAAGCAGAUAAAAAUGUAAGAUUUCACCACAGCAAAAAGCACAGAAAAGAAAUGAUUUGAAAGCAGGUGUCUGCAAGACAGACUCCUUUGGAAAAGAACCUUCCAUUAUGUAUCAUAAAGGGGGCAACAGGAGUAGACGGUCUGCAAUUUUCAGGUGAGCAGAGUUACAGCAAUAAUGGCAUGGAGCUGAGUUACUCCAGCGUGCUGUGCCUUAGCAGUGAUCCUCAACCAAUUUAUCAGUUGGCUUUUUAGUGGGAAAAAAAAAAGUUAUUUCAGCACUAAUAUUUGUGCACAAAACCUCAGGAACAUCAUACAAUAAGACAGUUUAAUCUCAAUUAAUUUCUGUCUUCUAAGUACUGUCAACUCAGAAAAGUUUCUGCUUUGCUGAGGGACCUUGCCAGACUGCCGUAUGCCUUCACUUCUACCAGGUAUCAGAACGCUUGAAUACCAGGUGUCUACAUGGUAUGCAGUGAAAAAUAUAACCCAAAGAGGUGCAUUUAAUAAAUGCCCCAAACCACUCUCCAGGACUAAAAUGCAAUUAGGCAGUUACACAUCAGCUGAAAUGAUGGGUUUUGUUUACUGAACGUACCUUGCCAUACAUCGUCUUGAAAGCUGCCUUGAUUUUUUGCCUUUGGUCAUUGGAGCGGUUAGAUACAACAUCAAUGAUAGCCUUCUCAUCAGUCCC